AAGAUUCCAUGUGCUCCAGGAGCAACAAAGAGGAGACCCUAGCGGAUGGAUGAGCCAGCACUUUGAAGAGCUGGGUCCCGAUGCCAACAAUAAGGGAUGGAAACACAGGCCUGGGAAUGAAGCGUCUAAGACUGAGCUGCAAAGAGAUGCGUCCCAGGCAGAGGACCGGACGUGGGUGUGUACAAGAGCCAGGGUCUUAGAGAACAGAGGCCAGAUCCCCGGCUGGGAUUGGCCACUGAUCAGCUGUGUGGCCUUGGCUGAGUCACAUGGCCUCUCUCACCCUGUGCUUCCCUCUCUGGGAAAUGGAGUGAAUGAUCUUUCACACGAGUGCGGGAGGAAGUCACUAUGGAUGCACUAGGCCUUUCCGGUCUCUGAGGACCCAUCCUCACGGCCCUCGACCCGAUGGAGACCCUUAACUGCCACCCACCCGAGGCGUCCCCAGUGUCCCUCCCCCAGCGGUCCCUUCCCCCACUCCUCUGCCCAAAGGAGGGAAACCCAUUUCCCUGGGAACAGCUGUGUUUCCUCAACAAACAAAUGUUCCCUUUAAACGGUUCUGAGGAGGAGCGGAUGGUAAUGAGCGAACAUCUGGCCCGGCGGCACACUUUCGUUUUUGGCAGCUCUGGAGCCCGCCAAGUGACUAUUCCCUAAUGUUCACCGCGUCCCAGCACCUGUUAUUCCCAAUCAGGCUUGUACCAGUACGCCUCAAUUAAGAGCAGAUGCGGGGCUGAGCGCGGGGAGAGAGAACCCCCUUCCCCAACGUCCCUCUGCUCUGCCCCGGCUCGGGAGAGGUGGUCUGAAAACAGCAAGGGCACCAGCCUCUGCCUUUGCCCUUCCUCCUCGCCCCUUCCCCGCCCCCUCCCUGCCUCCUUCCCGCUCUGCCUCCCUGCUGCCUGCCUCCUUCCUUUCUUCCUUCCACCCUUCCCUCUUGCCUUCCCUCUCUCUCCCCUUCCUUCCUCCCUCCCUUCCUUCCUUCCUUCCUUCCUUCCUUCCUUCCUUCCUUCCUUCCUUCCUCCCUCCUCCCUCCCUCCCUCCCUCCCUCCCUCCCUCCCUCCCUUCCUUCCUUCCUUCCUUCCCUCCCUCCCCCCCCCCCCUUUGCUUCCUUCUUUCCUUCCCUCCCCCAGCUACCUGUGUUGCCGCCUUUGGGGAUGCAGAUCUGGGUGACACAUUCUUGCCCUCUAGUGACCCACAAGGUCCUAACCGACACGCGUCCUCCUUGCAACACGGGGGUCCGCCAACUUGUCUCUGAAGGGCCAGGUGAUAGGGAGGGGGCUCUGCAGGCCGCACGGUCUCCGUCACAGCUGCCCAACUCGGUAGCUGUGGCACCAAAGCAGCCACGGACGAUACGUGCGUGAAUGAGC
rnacentral:lncRNA from 1 species